rnacentral:rRNA from 1 species
CAAGGCAACGAUGCAUAGCCGACCUGAGAGGGUGAUCGGCCACACUGGAACUGAGACACGGUCCAGACUCCUACGGGAGGCAGCAGUAGGGAAUCUUCCGCAAUGGGCGAAAGCCUGACGGAGCAACGCCGCGUGAGUGAUGAAGGUCUUCGGAUCGUAAAACUCUGUUAUUAGGGAAGAACAUAUGUGUAAGUAACUGUGCACAUCUUGACGGUACCUAAUCAGAAAGCCACGGCUAACUACGUGCCAGCAGCCGCGGUAAUACGUAGGUGGCAAGCGUUAUCCGGAAUUAUUGGGCGUAAAGCGCGCGUAGGCGGUUUUUUAAGUCUGAUGUGAAAGCCCACGGCUCAACCGUGGAGGGUCAUUGGAAACUGGAAAACUUGAGUGCAGAAGAGGAAAGUGGAAUUCCAUGUGUAGCGGUGAAAUGCGCAGAGAUAUGGAGGAACACCAGUGGCGAAGGCGACUUUCUGGUCUGUAACUGACGCUGAUGUGCGAAAGCGUGGGGAUCAAACAGGAUUAGAUACCCUGGUAGUCCACGCCGUAAACGAUGAGUGCUAAGUGUUAGGGGGUUUCCGCCCCUUAGUGCUGCAGCUAACGCAUUAAGCACUCCGCCUGGGGAGUACGACCGCAAGGUGAAACUCAAAGGAAUUGACGGG